rnacentral:ncRNA from 2 species
UUAGAUAAAUGCGGAUUUAGUAUAGAGGAAGAUUUAGCGAGGAACUCCGUGGAAUCCGGAGGCGGUCGCGCCACUGUAUUUGGAUUUUGUGAUAUGGCGAUAUGGCGAUUGGGUGAUUGACGAUUUUAAAAUCACCAAAUCACCAAAUCACUAAAUCAACAAAUAUCCAAGAGCCAGACCCUCGCUGAAGACUGAUAUUGGGA